rnacentral:rRNA from 1 species
UGCGUAGGUGGCGGGGUAAGUCAGGUGUGAAAUUUCGGAGCUUAACUCCGAAACUGCAUUUGAUACUGCCUUGCUUGAGGACUGGAGAGGAGACUGGAAUUCACGGUGUAGCAGUGAAAUGCGUAGAGAUCGUGAGGAAGACCAGUGGCGAAGGCGGGUCUCUGGACAGUUCCUGACACUGAGGACAAGGCCAGGGGGACGACGAAACG